rnacentral:rRNA from 1 species
GACGAACGCUGGCGGCGUGCUUAACACAUGCAAGUCGAACGGGCCUUGUCCCCUUUUUUUUUGGGGGUGGGGUUAGUGGCGAACGGGUGAGUAACACGUGAGUAACCUGCCCCUCACUUCUGGAUAACCGCUUGAAAGGGUGGCUAAUACAGGGUGUUCUGGCCUGCUCGCAUGGGUGGGUUUGGAAAGAUUCGACCGGUUUGGUUGUUUUGGUGGGGGAUGGGCUCGAGGCCUAUCAGCUUGUUGGUGGGGUGAUGGCCUGCCAAGGCGUUGACGGGUAGCUGGCGUGGGGGGGGGGCGGCCCUGACGGGGAUGGAGACCCGCCGAAGACCCUGGCGGGGUGCGGCAGGGGGAAUAUUGCACAACGUGCGCAAGCCUGACGCAGCGACGCCGCGUGAGGGAUGGAGGCCUUCGGGUUGUGAACCUCUUUCGCCAGUGAAGAAGGUCCUGCUCUUUGUGGUGGGGUUGACGGUAGCUGGGUUAAUGAAGCGCCGGCUAACUACGUG